rnacentral:rRNA from 1 species
UACGUAGGGUGCGAGCGUUAAUCGGAAUUACUGGGCGUAAAGUGUGCGCAGGCGGCCGCGCAAGUCGAGUGUGAAAUCCCCGAGCUUAACUUGGGAAUUGCGCUCGAAACUACGUGGCUGGAGUGUGGCAGAGGAAGGUGGAAUUCCACGUGUAGCGGUGAAAUGCGUAGAUAUGUGGAAGAACACCGAUGGCGAAGGCAGCCUUCUGGGCCAACACUGACGCUCAUGCACGAAAGCGUGGGGAGCAAACAGG